GCUCAGGAUGAACGCUGGCGGCGUGCCUAACACAUGCAAGUCGAGCGAAGCACUCUACUCGAUUUCUUCGGGAUGAAGGUUUAGUGACUGAGCGGCGGACGGGUGAGUAACGCGUGGAUAACCUGCCUCAUACAGGGGGACAACAGUUAGAAAUGACUGCUAAUACCGCAUAAGACCACAGCACCGCAUGGCGCAGGGGUAAAAACUCCGGUGGUAUGAGAUGGAUCCGCGUCUGAUUAGCUAGUUGGUAAGGUAACGGCUUACCAAGGCAACGAUCAGUAGCCGACCUGAGAGGGUGACCGGCCACAUUGGGACUGAGACACGGCCCAAACUCCUACGGGAGGCAGCAGU
rnacentral:rRNA from 1 species